GAUGAACGCUGGCGGCGUGCCUAAUACAUGCAAGUCGAGCGAACAGACGAGGAGCUUGCUCCUCUGACGUUAGCGGCGGACGGGUGAGUAACACGUGGAUAACCUACCUAUAAGACUGGGAUAACUUCGGGAAACCGGAGCUAAUACCGGAUCAUAUAUUGAACCGCAUGGUUCAAUAGUGGAAGACGGUUUUGCUGUCACUUAUAGAUGGAUCCGCGCCGCAUUAGCUAGUUGGUAAGGUAACGGCUUACCAAGGCAACGAUGCGUAGCCGACCUGAGAGGGUGAUCGGCCACACUGGAACUGAGACACGGUCCAGACUCCUACGGGAGGCAGCAGUAGGGAAUAUUCCGCAAUGGGCGAAAGCCUGACGGAGCAACGCCGCGUGAGUGAUGAAGGUCUUCGGAUCGUAAAACUCUGUUAUUAGGGAAGAACAAAUGUGUAAGUAACUAUGCACGUCUUGACGGUACCUAAUCAGAAAGCCACGGCUAACUACGUG
rnacentral:rRNA from 1 species